UUUUAGCUGGGUGUCCAAAUCGUGCUCACCCUCAGGUGUAUGGGAGAUUAGAGGGUUUGGCAGGAAUGUGGUUAUGUUUGAAAUCUCACCUGGAGAUGCUGACGUGCUCGCACGUCCAGCUGUGUGUAUCCCAGAUAAGGCGUUCUGUAACACCAGUAGAGUCUCUAACAUUUCUAAUCCUCGCAGUAUAUUCUCAUCACAUUCUGCCCACUCUUAAAGAAAGCGCAUACUGUAAAUUCAUCUCUUUUAUUAAUUGUUUUGUUCCUUAAGCUUUCUAAUUAUGAUUAAAGUUUAUUUCUAAAGGGAGCAGGUUGCACGUUCUUCUUGUGUGUGUUUGCUGCAGGCACAACUUUUUGUUUAAACCGUAUAGUUUGCUGAAUUGUUGUUUAUAAAUUGCCCGUAGUGCGUUGGUGUCAUCAACCUUGUUCCCUUAUUUCACUGUGUCUCACACUCACAAUUGUAACACACACCUGAAAAUUAGAAAUUUAGUUUAAGAUAUAUAAUAAAAUGGUCUGGACAACAGGAAGCAGAAAUGGACAGAAUGGGGCAAGUUAGCAUAAAAUAUCUAUAGAACAAUAUCAGGAGAUACUUUCAUGGGAAACUAAUAUUUCCAUUGCAUUUUCCAGUUAAAACAUUAAAAUCAAUGGAUGACUAUUUGUUAGCUGUGGAAAUAAAAAGAACCCACAUAUGCUGAAAAUAUUUCCAGAAUUAUAUGAGUUCAUUUCAGUUCUCUAUUGCUUUCAGUCUAAGAAGCCCACAAUAUUUAAUCAAGACAGAUGACAUUUCAACACUGUGCAUAAAGUAUUGCUCAUGGCUUGCACCUUGUCCUUAGGAAGCUUCUGUUAUCACCCAUCAUGAUCACUGGACCCUUGUACUGUGACACAAAGGACAUCCCAACAGAUGAAGACAGCCAACUACUGAACAUCAAACCAAUCACUCUCAAGGGGUGCUUGAGAAAAAGAUGACAUAGGGAGAAAGAUCGUAAUAAAGAGGAGGACAAAGAUGAAGGAACGACCAUGCCGGUCCAAAAGGUUUCAAGAAGCAAACAGCAUUUACCACUAACUGACAGUGAUUGGGCAUCCUCAACAUUAGAACCCAGUUAUUUUGCUGGGAGGGUGGCCCUCUGUAGGCCAGAGGUGGAAAUGAAAAUAGCCCCAGAAAAGGUUAACACAGCACAUAGUGUUUCUACAGUACAUCUUAUAAUCCUUUUGAAUGACUUUUGAUUUCUUACAUCUAUUAUCUUUUAAUAAUUUGGUUUUGUUUUAUGGUAGACAUGUUAUGUCGACUCUGACUUGCCAAACAAAAGGGGAAUUUACAAUUAAUGUUAUUUAGAGUUCAGAGACCUUGUUAUGACUCCCUCACAACUUACGAGGUCACCUCCAUCAUUAAUCUGUGAUUUAUGGGUGUGAAGAAAGGACAGGAAUGGGGUGAUACAUGCAGGAGACCUGAUCUGUGAGGGAUUUAUCUGGCAAACAGAUAUUUUACUGUUACAUGGUGCAUUGCAUAUUAUUAUGUUUUAUUUAAGCAUGUUUAGAGUUACAGUAGCAUGUUGGCUGACACUAGAGCCUCACACCACCAUGACUGGGGGUUCGAUUCUAACCCCAGUUCCCUGUUUGUAGGAUCUCUCUGGGUUCACCCAGAGGUUCCUAUAUAUUCUCUAGUUUCCUCCCUCAGCUAAAACAGGUGAAUUUCUAUCUCUAAGUUACCCAAAGUGCAUGAUCAUGUGUCUGGCAUAUGGUGGAAGGGCAUCCAAUCAGGGUGCAUCCCCGCCUUAUGGCCUGACCUUCUUGGGAUAGGCUCAAGGCUCACUAUGACCCUGCAUUGCAGUGUUUUCCAGUCUGGUCCUUGGGAACCCACAGUCAGUCCAUGUUUUUGCUCCCUCCAAGUUCCCUGCCAGACAGUCCACAUUUUUGCUCCUGGGAGGGUGCAAAAACGUGGACUGUCUGUGGGUUCUGGAGGACCAGAUUGGGAAACACUGCUGUAAUGAAUAAGAGGAGGUUAUGGAAGAUGGAUGGAAAUUUAUGAUAGUGAGUAACAGUAUGAACAGUCUGGGAAAAGAGCUGGGAAAAAAGAGGUAUUCUUGUAGAAGCAACCGGAAAUUACUCAUUUCUCAUUUCUUUUUCAUCUGAAUUUUUAAGAAAUCCUUGAAAGAAUGUUUAUAAACAUAGACCCCUAAUCCCUAGUGAGUGUGUUCCUACACUAAAACCAUUGAAGAAGAUGCCAAACUUCCACCAUGACCACACGGGGCCAGAGAAUGACUGGAAGGCUGAAGGGUUGGCUUCACUGACCCAGCUUCUUCAUCAUGAGGGCAGACAGGGGUGCCCUGUUUGUUUCGCCUCACUUCCAACUAAGUGUCACAAAGCUGAAGUCGAGCACCACCACGUCACGGCUUAUCCUGAGCCCAGUGACUCCGGCUGCCACUAUACGCUUGAUCAGCGUAUCUAUACGUCAUCCUUUGUAAUCGUCCCACCACAUCUCUCACAUUUGCUCCUCUCUGAACACAGGUGGUUAAACAUAUCAUCACUGUCCAAUGAAAUCCAUUAUUUCAGGAGUGUGAAAAUAUGCAUUUUCUCAGAACCUGUGUUUCAAUAUAUACCUAAAUCAAUGGAAUGAUCCUUAGCACCCCAAUAAGAAAGAAUCUUUACACGGCCCUCAGUGAAUGGUUAAACAUUUAGGAUGGAUUUACAUGGAUUGUUGUCAACGAGGUAUGUCAAUGUCAACAAAAUACAAUUAACAAUGAUGUUUAUUAGCUAGCUACAGUUACAUAGCUAUUACAUACCUACAUAGCUAGCAAAUGUUAAUUUAUUUGCCACUGCAUUAUUCCCAUGUUUAUACUUUUAACAUAACUCAACGGCUCGUUCCUGUCACUCUGAAUGGGUGACCAUUGGGCAGCUGUUUGUGUGUUUAGUGUAAAUUAUCUGUGAAAAUUGACUUUUUAAUGGCACCAGGAGUGAAUGUUUCACAGCCUUUGUAACUGUUCAAAACAUCCACUACUUGAAAGAUAAAGUGUAAUUCAAUCAAA